GGGUGGGGUAGCGGGGCGGGCUGAGCGAGCCUCUAGAGGGAGUCUGACCAGGUCAGCUGGGAAUGCCUGUCAGCCAUCCAGGGUGGCUUCUCCUUUGCUCUGCUCCUGCAUGGGCCUGGAGGUGGGUGAGUGACUCAUGCUGGUGCCCUCCCCACCCCUGCACCCAAAUGCUCAGCCCUCCCCACAGCAGGGGCUCACCUAAUCCCCACAGUGGGAGUCGGUGGGUAUUCACGCCUGUGCCGAGGUCUAGGGUUGCACCGCGCUGACUUCACACUCAGCAGCAUGUGCAGCUGAGGCCUCCGGGCAGUCGUCUCCUGCGAGGCGGGCAGCGAGGUCAGCUUGGCAGCCGCUGCCUCUCCAGCCUGGAUCUGGCCGCAGGCAGCGGUUCCCUAGGACCCGAGAAAAGGAUGGCCGAACAAGAAGCUAGUGGGCUACAGGUCCUGCUGCACACGCUUCAGGCUGCGUUGAGAACUCCCAUUCUGCUGGCAUCCU
rnacentral:lncRNA from 1 species